AGAGUUUGAUCCUGGCUCAGAACGAACGCUGGCGGCGCGCCUAAUACAUGCAAGUCGAGCGAGAAGGUGUAGCAAUACACUUGUAAAGCGGCGAACGGGUGAGGAAUACAUGGGUAAUCUACCAUCGAGUGGGGAAUAACCAACCGAAAGGUUGGCUAAUACCGCGUACGCCUCCGGAUCUUCGGGUUCGGAGGGAAAGCUGCACUGUGAGUGUAGCGCUCUUUGAUGAGCUCAUGUCCUAUCAGCUUGUUGGUAGGGUAACGGCCUACCAAGGCUUUGACGGGUAGCUGGUCUGAGAGGACGAUCAGCCACACUGGCACUGCGACACGGGCCAGACUCCUACGGGAGGCAGCAGUAAGGAAUAUUGCGCAAUGGGCGAAAGCCUGACGCAGCGACGCCGCGUGGGGGAUGAAGGUCUUCGGAUUGUAAACCCCUUUCGGGAGGGAAGAUGGAGCGAGCAAUCGUUCGGACGGUACCUCCAGAAGCAGCCACGGCCAACUUCGUGCCAGCAGCCGCGGUAAUACGAAGGUGGCAAGCGUUGUUCGGAUUCACUGGGCGUACAGGGGUGUGUAGCGGUUUGGUAAGCCUUCUGUUAAAGCU
rnacentral:rRNA from 1 species